GUCCACUGAUCAUUGCAUCAGUUCAACUAGGAAAGGCUGAAGAAUGUACUUUGUUCCCUAAUGGGAAAGGCUAAGAUUGCUGGACUAUUCGGUCCCAGUGCUUUCACUGGAGCCUGAACCAAAUGAUCUUGGGAUUGCUUCUUAUAAAUUUGAAUAUACCCAUGAUCCUUCUCAGUGAAAUUUCAGAGACGUUCAUUCUUAUUCUGGCAGUGAGUGUCUCUCAGCCUCAAAAUCUACAGCUCCUGAAAUAUUUGCUUCUUAUAAACUCUUUUUCUAAGGCCAAGUUUUCCUUUCAAAAGUGUUCCUAACAUUUACAUUAUAUCCACCAUUAAGUCUCGUUUAUACUUGAAAUCCUCCCAAUUAGCAUACGUUCUUGUAUCCUCCUUUUACUCGUAUCCUCCUUUUACUCGUUCUUUUCCUUUCUAAGCAAACAUUUGCUUAAAUCAACUCCUUCCUUGUAUUCCCAAAGGAAAUACCUGGACUUGAUCUGGUAGAAGCAGACAUCUAUCAUGGCCAUAAAUGUCACUAUUUAAAAAGUCCCCCAUGCAUUUUUCACAGCAGAGCAGAAUAUAAAGCAAUGCGGAGGAGGGGGAAAACAAACAAAUGAACAAAAAACCUUUUUACUUAAUCUGUCUGGUAGGAGCCAGAUCCACCCUGGUCAUAUCCCACCCCUGGCACAGUUCACGGGCAUCUACGAUGCUCCUAGAUCAGUCAGUACUACACUUAAGUCCCUGACAAUUUCCCAUCUCCGAUUCUAUUUUACAUUUGGCAGUGGGUCACUCUUCUACUCUUGACAAUUUUCAAGAGCAUCGCAACCCCAUCAAUUAAUAUACUACAUACAUAAUCAAUGCCCAAAGUAGUAAAAUAACCACUUCAGACUUUAUGAUGUCAAUGUGGCCAUGUACCCCACUUAAUAACAGUUUCAUUAGUACUUACUUCACUAUAUCCGGCCUCUACUUUGGAAAAGAGAAAGGCAUACAAUGGUCAAACAUAAAUUCUUUAUCAGUUUUCAGCUAAAGCAAUUUGUAGAUGGUUACAGAAAAACUUGGUGGGCUUGAUCUCCAUUCCCUCUGUAAGACACGCUGGCAUGCUCAGGAUAUUCUGAAUAGUCAUACAUGCGGACGUCCCCAGUAUGCCCAUGCAGCACUGGUCUCACCAACUGGGUUGCAUACUUACCACGCGUUUCUCGGGUUUGUUCCCAAACCUGUUCAUUCCAGUUUUAUGUAUUAGUGCAGUUUCAAAAUGUAAUGAAACAGUAUGUAAACAGAAGAUACCACGUAAGUCAAUGAAGUGGGAGUAUAAAAAAGAAAGCGAUUUAUCGUUUCUACUGAAAUUCAGCAGAAUGUUUGAAAGGACUUCAUAAAGAUGAGUCGUUUAAAAAUUACCACUGAACUGGGGGGGGUGCCUGAGUGGCUCAGUCGGUUAAGUGUCCAACUCUUGAUCUUGGCUCAAGUCAUGAUCUCAUAGUUCGUGAGAUCGAGCCCUACGUCGGGCUCUGUGCUGACAGUGUAGAGCCUGCUUGGGAUUCUCUGUCAAAAUAAAUAAAUAAACAAAUACACAAAUCAAUCAAUCAAUGAAAAUGAUCACUGAAUCAGAGGUAGGUUGAUUAACUGAAGUGUUCGAGUGGGGGGUGAGGGGGAGGGGGAGCGGGAUGGGGUAGUUUUUAGUAAAAGUUGAGAAAGAUUCUACAUGGAGAUGGCGGGACAAUGUCUUUAAUUCUUCCUCCAAUUUAAACAGACAUGGAUUGCCAAAUCACACAGGUUGUGUGGUGGGUAUAACUAGAAAAGAAAAUGCCUUGACCUAACAUCAGAUAUGGGCAAAGAAAAAAAUAUGUAGGUGACAGAUGCAGAUAUAACUGUUACAAUUAAGAGUUCAAAGUAUGUAUUACAAUUAGAAGUCUGAUUAGUCAACUACUAGUGCCAAACUGGACAGGAAGCUUUCUGUAACUUUUCAUCACCUCCUAUAAGCUCAGGUGCCCUGAAUACAGCCAAAAAAAACCAAAAAAAACAAAAAAAAAAACAUAGUUUCUUUGUUUUGUUUUGGGGACCCCGGUUUAUGCAUAUUUUCAAAAUAUCCAACCAAAAAUGCUAACAUGCUCAUGUUGCUAAUCUUGCUUAAACCCAGAAGCAAUUUCGAGGACUUGAGUAUUUAGAAAUUCAGUCUCAGUAAUAGAGGAUCUCACCCAAGUGCCCCACCCACAGUCACAGUUAGCAUGGGCACAGCCAUCUACUCAUCUGGCAUUUGUGAGAAUACCGGUUUAUCCAGGAGGGCUGCUACGGGCCAAGCAGCAGGAUUAAUCCACACACCGUGUGGUCCUAUUUUCAUCCAGAUUAAUGGCUCCUUUUUGCUAGGGCACAUUUAUUUCUGUCACUAGGGUCACACGUUAUCACAUAGCCCUCCACAGAUAGCACCAGCAUAUUCUACACCCUGCACUGAUCAUGUAAUGCAUGCGCAUUUGGAAUCAUCAGAAGCAAACAUCACAUUUCUCUGCAGCAUAAAAACAGGCGAACAAAAAGACUUGCUAAGCAAAUUGCCUGUCUCAGUGCCUCCUUGAUAGGAAAAGUCAGGAACCUACUUAAAUAUUUAUUUUUAAUUCCUCUGGCUAGGAUUCCGACAUGCAAAAAUACAAAAUGCAUAACUUUUGACUGUCAAGUGAUGUCCAAAGCAACAGGCAGUGCAUUUUACAUGCAGGUCUUCUGUACCACGUUUUGUAAGGCAGUAAAGAGGGUUAGUCUUCUGGUCCCUAAGAGUUCACAUCCCCUGGGACAUCUUGAAAAAGUCCCCUUCUAUAUGCAGCUAGUUUCUAAUCACUUUCUUCCUUCCACUCAUGAUGACAGGCAAAGAAAUCAGCCUUUUUGUUACCAAGUCCGUGUGAUGUAAACAACUGGCAAUGGAGUCGAUAAGGAGAACUAGCAUCCCAAGAAACGAUUUACGCCCAGAUUUCUUAGAACACGCGCUGUCUUCCAAAUAGGUCAAAAUAAUUUACAAAAAAGCGAAAAAUGAAGAAAAAGCUUCCUUAAGGUAUCAGAUGAGUAACACAGAGGAAAUUAGAAAUAAUUUGACUUACCCAAGGUCACAGUAAGACAAUGACACACAAAAAAGGUAGACCUAAAUUGCCUUCACCUCCAAAGUAAUCUUUCUACAUUAUUUCACCAGGAAUUAAUGUGAAAUGGUCUGAAAAGAGCUGAGCACUUUCAAACUAUUUUACAUGCAGUCAAUCCUUCCUCCGAGUUAGCUAGCAUCCAGGCAGGUGAAAUUUGGGAAACCUCACACCUUGGGUGGGCCAUGCCACGCUCCUCUAUAUGCUGCAGAAAGCAAAAGUCAACAACAUGCCUCAGGACUGUUAAGAGGUAUUUUGCACAUGACAUUCUGAAUACCGUUAAAGAUGAAAGCUGACAGACAAGAGUUGCUGGCUAGACAAUACAUCUUCCUUGAGAAAAGCAUCGGUCCCCACAUGGAGCAAAGUUAAUGUACAAAGUACGGACCUAUAAAUCAAGAGUUCUCUUCAGUAUGUUCUGUUUAAGUGACAAUUUCAGUUUUCUCUUCAUUCUAAUUAUGAAACUAAUGCAUAUGCAGCACAGAAAAUGAAAGAGGAAAGAAUAAAGGAGAAAAGGGUUCACAGGAAUCCCACUGCCCAGAGUCAAUCACUGCUAACAUUUUCCUUCAUUCCACAUUAUUGUUAUUUUUCUGUGCCGUUUUAGUACAUCAAUAUAUGCACGCGUUUUAUAUUUUUAACAUUAUUUUAAGGGGAUUAUUCAGAAGCCUUUGGAUUUUUAUUUUCAUCACUUCAGUAAAUUUAAGGGAAUCCUCCUCUGGGAACUCUAAGAGUGUCUUGAAAAAAAACUAACUGUAAGAUCAUCUCUAGAAGUAAAGAUUUCCUGUGUCCAAAUUUAAGGGACUCCUAAAUAAAGGAAAGUCUCCCAUUUUCCACGAGAUGAUCCCUUCAAACAACAAGGCUCUGCCGUUUGUUUUUUUAAUUUAUUUUUAAUGUUUUAUUUAUUUUUCAGAGACAGAGACAGAGUACGAGCGGUGGCGGGGAGCAGGCGGUGAGAGAGGCAGACAGAAUCCACGAAGCAGGCUCCAGGCUCUGAGCUGUCAGCACAGAGCUUGAUGUGGGGCUCGAACUUGUGAACCACACGAGAUCAUGACCUGAGCUGAAGUCUGAGGCUUAACCGACUGAGCCACCCAGGAGCCCAUGUUUGGAUUUUUGUUGUUGUUGUUGUUGUUGUUGUUGUUGUUGUUUUAAACACAAUUUGCCCCUAUUCUGGACUGACGCAGAGAUGGCUAAGCGCCUAGGUGUAUUUCCUUCAAUUAGUGAUAUGUACAUGUUCAAAAGCACACGGACUGUUACAGAGCAUGUUUAAUUUGGAAAAGUGCUUUGUUUCCUCUCACAUUUCAUUAAGCGCUCCCCAGGCACCUGAGUGUCUUCAUUAUAACCGGACCCAGUUUUGUAGGGAUACCUGAGCGAAUCACGUUCCCUGGGAGAUUACUUCCGACCUGGCACUUAACAUUCAUAUAGGACACAGCUGCCAUGAAAACCGAUUCACGAAGCAAGUGGGACAGCUCUUACACAUCCUACAGGCACGUACUGGGGACCCCCAUAAUGAAGACACAUGUGACACUGUUUUAGCUGCUCUUUUAAAGGCUUAUUUACAAUAAGAUCCAGCACUUGCAAUCGUGAGGUCAUCCCUACAUUACUAAAUCUCUGAGAUUUUUUUUUCCUGACUCUGCCAAGUGACUUUUUGAAGCCUCGUAAGCAAGCAUUCAUGAAGGCCAUUCUGAUGUUCAAAGCAGUCGAGAGGUUGAUCUGUAUGAAAUAGGAGAGCCUUUGUAAGAUUUUGAAUAUACUGAAUGAUGCAUCUGAAAGAUAACUUGGGGAGGAAGAAGUCCUAAUAUUAGGGGCACAUAUAGUGACAUGGGCUUGUUGGUGUUUUUGUUUUCCUGUCUGUCCCUUGGUUACCGUGGCACUAAGACUGCAAAUGCUAUAAAAACCACAUUUGGGUGUAAACAAAUCUGUAUAAUGACCUUUAAUACAGUGCUUUCCAACAGAACUCUCUGCAGUGAUGGAAAUGCUCUUUUCUACUCUCUCCAAUAUUGUGGCCAAUGGCCACACGUGGCUGUUGAGCCCUGGUGAUGUGGCAAAUGCAACUGAAGACCUGCACUUUUAGCUUCCGUUAACUUUCUUUUUUAAAAAAACAUUUUUUUAACGUUUAUUCAUUUUUGAGGGACAGAGAGAGACAGAGCACGAGUGAGGAAAGGGCAGAAAGAGAAGGAGACACAGAACUGGAAGCAGGCUCCAAGCUCUGAGCUGUCAGCACAGAGCCCGAUGCGGGGCUUGGACUCACAAACUGGAGAUUAUGACCUGACCGAAGUCAGACACUUAACCGACAGAGCCACCCAGGCACCCCUAGCUUCUGUUAAGUUUCAGUAGCCGCAGGUGGCUGGGGGCUCCCCGGUUUGCCAGCAGCACCAGAGGGCUGUGCCAGGCCUUCCUUCCAGCUCCCGGGCACCUAGAAGAGUGAGCAAAACCUGGUGUUUACUUUGUGCGGGGGAAGCAGUCAUAAUGUGUUAAAAUGAAUCCUAAGAAGGAAGGCCUCUCUUCCUUAAUAAGGGGAUCAGGCGAUCCCCACAAGGAGCAGACUGUCCUUUGUAAAGGCCUCCAAUAACCCAGUCUCCCUGCAAAGCUGCUACUAAAAGAUAAUUUCCACCGUUCAAGCAUGUAUUUCCUAUGGCACCUUUGCAACCCUUGGGCAAACCUGCAAAACGUUAGAGAGGCUAUUAUUUUAUUCUUCAACUGCUCUAGUAUUCUAUGGGAGUGGUUCACUAGCUGUUCGGAGCAAGUAAUACAACCUGGACACGUAAGAUUUUAUAACCCCACUUGCUACAGGAAACCUGGCAGAAGAUGCAUUAGUUAACACAGAGUCACAAUUUUAUUUUUCAAUUAAUCUUUAAAACUGGGAAGAAAGAAAUCACUCUCAGAUGUUCGGAGAAAAGACAGUUAAGUCACAGAGUAAAUUAAAACAUAACAUCCCGGCGCCACAUAAAAUUCUGAACAAAUUUAAUGGCAUCCUGGCAUCCUGGAAUCUCUGACAAAAAAGGUACAUUUGCAUUUAUACAACAUUAACAACUGAAAUAAAAUCAAACCGCCUCGCUCACAGAAGAUUUUUGAUUUCAUUAAUAUCCUUACAGAUUUCACCUGUCCGCAAGCAUUGAUUAGCCAGGAAAAAACAGCACUGUGUCUGAUCAGGCUUCCAACUCCAAUAUUAAUUGAAGUCAAAAGCACAAGCAAAAAUCGAGCCACAAUACAUUAUUCUGAAAUGCUGCCACAGGAAAAAAGGCACAGUGCUGAUUCCAUCCACUUCCAUUUUCUUUGCAACAAAUCUGUCAUUUAAGACUAAGAUGUUAAGAUAUGACUUAUCCUUGCUGAAGUCAUCUCCCUAAAAAUGCAGAUCUUCCAGCAGGCUUCGUAGCCCUGAUCUCUUCCUACAAGUUGCGCCUGAUUCGAGCAGAUAAUUUUGCUCUCUUUAAUCCAGUGGAACUGAAUAAGUUCUCGGUGCUUCAAAAAGAAAUUAUAGGAACAAAAAUUCUCUCCCCAGAAAAGUACAGGUAAGAUUCUAGUCUAUUUAUUCAUGGGGAAAGUGUUCCUCAGGUUGCCAUGGAGCCUCCUCGAGUAGUAAGGAAGACAUCAGAGCAGAUGUGUGGUGCAGGGGCCUCAAUCACAAACUGCACACGUUAUACAGAGCACGAUUCAGGCUCACAGAACACUACACUUCACUGAGGGCUGCUGCUGCUGACCACAUGUUUGUUAUCUCCCACAAAAUCCACGCGCCGAAGCCCUAAUCCCUCACUGGAAGAAUAUUUCAAGAUGGGGCUUUGGGGAGGUAACAAGGGUUAGCGAUGUCAAUAACGGUGAGAAUCUCAUGAGGCAAUUAGUGCCCUUAAUAAGAGACAUCAGAGAGCUCGUCCUCUCUCUGGGCACAAAGAGGUCAUGUGAACACACUGCCGGAGGGCACCCACCUACAAGCCAAGAGAAGAGGUCUCAGAACGAAGGCUACAUCGCUGGCACCUUCACCUUGGACUUCCCGGACUCCAGAAUUGUGAGAAAUAAAUUUCUGAUUUUUAAGCCCCCACAGUCUGUGGUAUAUGGUUCCAGCAGCCCACGCUGACUAAUAGAGCUGCACCUCCGAGUUCGAUUUUGUAGUUGGCAGCCCUGAGCCCUCUAUACCCACCUAUGAAAGCAAGAGCCGGAAACACCAGAGCGAAUGCCCAGUGUCACCACAACGCGGCCAUUAAGGAAUUCAAAAGUACUGGCUAUUUAAUCUACAAUUAAAAUAAAUAUUUCUAGGGGCACCCGGGUGGCUCAGUCAAUUAAGCAUCGGACUUCAGCUCAGGUCAUGAUCUCACAGUCUGUGAGUUCGAGUCCUGCAUUGGGCUCUGUGCCAAGCUCAGAGCGUGGAGCCUGCUUCGGAUUCUGUGUCUCCCUGUCUCUCUGCCCCUUCCCCGCUCAUGCUGUUUCUCUCUAUCUCUCGAAAAUAAGUAAACGUUAAAAAAACAAAAUUAUAAAUAAAUAAAUAAAUAAAUAAAUAUUAUAAAUAAAUAAAUGAAUGAAUGAAUAAACAAAUAAAUAAUAAAGAUUUCCACUACUUGCCAAUGUGGAGUAACCAGGAUCAGAUUCACCCUACCACGUGAAACAACAAAAACGGAAACAAAGUAAGAGAAACCAGGGAUUUCACAGCACUGGAUGUGAGGCAACAAAGGAUAGCAAUUCCUAAGAGUCGUGAAACAGAUGAGGUGAGGCCUACUACUGCCCCGAACCUACUUUUUGGACAGUUUCCAAGACACAGCCUGGGGAGGAGAAACAGGUGGAACCCAGAGAGACCAAGGCACCUAGAGUUUGCAGGACCAAGAACCAAGGAGGAGAGAGGUAUAUAUAGGAGUACCCUAUAUAUCUGCAGAGGGCCCAUCUCAAGCAUUCAACAGAGCAUUAAUUCAUACAUAAGUGUCAACAACUACCUGGGACUGGGGGAAGAAAACACCAUCUGAAAUGUUAAAGGAAGCAAUGAGUAAUACACACCACACUACGAAUAGUGUCUAUUCCCACCAGACAGAAUGAAAACCUCAUAAUUUCCAGAGAUUACUCAGAAAGGUAUUUCUUUGGUAGUGGGAAUAGUCAGCCCUAGAUGAAACACUGUUCCAACACUACCCAACAAAUCUUAAAAGCAGAACCAAAAGUAUCAAACUAUUUCCAACUAACAGGACUUCAUACCAGAACAAACCUCAAGAAUACGUACAAAAGUAUCAAACUCCAAAGAAGAAUUUCACAAUGUGUAGCAUCUAAUCAAAGAUUAGUAGGCACGCAAAGAAGCAGAAAAAAAUAAGACCCAUAUUAAGAAAAAAAAUCAAAACUCACGCAGACUGACACAAAUGAUAGAAUUAACAAAAAAAUUAAAAGAACAUAACUGUAUUCUACAUAUUCAAAAUAGAAAUAUGGAAGAUCUAUUUUUUAAAGCCCAAAUGGAACGUCUAGCGGUAGACUUCAACGUGUGAAAUGAAAAAUACACUGAAUAAGAUUUAACAGCUGACUGGACAUUCCAGAAGAAAAGAUUUCCUUUGAAGACAAAACAGCCCAAAAUGAAACAGAGACAAAAAUGGAAAUAAAAACAAAAUCGUUAAGCUGUGGGGCAACCAGAGAUGCGAGGUCAGUGAAUUCUAACCAUAAAAACAUAAAGAAAACUACAUCCAAUCAUAGCAUUAUAAAAUUGUUCAAAACUAGAUAAAGAGAAAAACUUAAAAGAGGCCAGAGAAAAAUAUGUUCUAAUGAGAGAAAAAAGAUAAGGAUAGCAUAGGAUUUCUUGUUAGCAAUACUGCAAGCAAAAAGGCAUUGGAAAAACAUCUUUAAAGCUUAUAAAUAAAAUAUAUGUCAACCUAGAAUUAAAUAUCCAGUGAAACUCACUUUCAAAAAUAAAAGCAAACUAAGAUAAAUAUGUGAAAAAAAAUUUUUGGCCUACAAAAGCUGAAAGAAUUCAUCUAAUAAAUCUGCAUUAUAAGAAAUGUUUAAAAAGUUGCCAGAGAAAAGGAAAAGGAUAUUAGAUGGAAAUAUAGGUCUAAAGAAAGUACACCAAAAGUGGUAACUACACAGGCAAAUGUGUAAGAAUAUUCUAUUAUUUAAAAGAUAUCUUUAAAUAUUUAUUUAAAUUGUUUCUAAAAGCUGAGGCAUCUGGGUGAGUCAGUCAUUGAGCAACUGACUCUUGAUUUCGGCUGAGAUCAUGAUCUUAUGGUUUGUGAGAUCAAGCCCCACGUCAGGCUCUGUGCUCUCAAAGCACAGAGCUUGCUCGGGAUUCUCUCUCUUUCUCUCUCUCCCCGCCUCCCUUCCUCAAAAUAAAUUUAAAAAAAUAAUAAAAAAUAAAAGCUAAUGAGUCAACCAAAGAAAAAUAAAUGUUGUGGAGUUUAUAACAUAUGUAAAAAUCAGAUGUAUGACAAAAGUAGCACAUAGGCUAGGAAAGAAAAAGAGAAGCAUAGGAUGGGAGGACUUUAUACUCCACAUGAAGUGGUAUAAUAUCACUUGCAGAGUAACUUUGACAAGUUAAAGACGUAUGCUAUAAACCCUAAAACAAUCAUAAAAAUGUUUUUAAAAAGAAUUGUAACUAAUAAACCAACAGAGGAGACAAACUGGAAAUAUACAAAGUACUUAACUCACACAAAGGGCAGAAAAAGAAAAACAGAUAUGACAAAACAAACAGGAAGAUGAAUCGACCUAAGCAUGUCAAUAACCAUAUUAAAAGUAAAUGGUCUAAACAACCCAAUUAAAAGGCAGAGAUUGCCAGAUAGGAUAAAUUUGAAAAGCCAAGCCCUAAUUAUACACUUCCACAAGAGAAGCACUUUGAAUAUAAAGACACAAAUAAAUUAAAAGUAAAAAGACAGAAAAAUAGAUACCAUGCCAACAUUAAACCUAGUAUAAAUACUUCCCAUUAGCAUUGUUCUUCUAAAGUCUGAUAUACAUCAAGUGUAAAACUCUGCCAAUGAAUCCAGAUGAUAUUAGACAAGAAAAGUAUGAAAACUGUUUGCUUCAAGUUUAGUUUUACAUGUUUUACAAAAUCAUCAGUGAACAUAUAAUUCAUUGUUACAAAUGUCUUAGUAGGAUCAUACAUUUUUCACAGAAAUCAGUGCCAGGAAAAUGUCUGCAUUCAAUGUGAAUUCAUGUGCUUUCUUUAAUCAGAUAAGUAUUAUAUGAGCCAAAGUUUUCCUUUAUGUCUUGGCUAACAGAGCUCAAUGCUCAACCUAUUGCCAAACUCUAAAAAUAAAUCCAUCCCGGUCACUUAACAGGGUCCACACUCCCUUCUUCUCAUUGGUUUUUGACCUCUCCUAAAAUUAUUUCACUUGCACUGUAAUAUUAGAAGCUACUUUGAAUAUUUUUAAGAGUUGUCUUUUAUAACAGAAAGAAUAUCAGGAAUCAAACACGAGUGUUUGCCCUACCGCAUAUAAGGUGUAUGAAUUUAAAUCGGAGAGGUUGAGUAACUGCUCCUAAGUUCCAUUUUAUACUAUAAAGUGAGAAUAACAGUGGUUACUUUGCUUCCCUCUCAAUAUUUAAAAAAAUGUGUAGUAUACAAACUUAAAAACAUAAAAUAAAGUUAAGUUAAUAUUAAAGUUAAAGGAUUAUAAAAAUUGAUGUGGAUUAAUUUUUUUAAUGAAAACUUGAUUAUUUUCAAGUUAACAAAAAUCCAUGAAAACUUAGAUGCACCUAUGGGGCGGGGCACCUGUGUAGCUCAGUCGGUUAAGCGUCCGACUUUGGCUCAGGUCAUGAUCUCAUGGCUCAUGACUUCGAGCCCCGCAUCAGGCUCUGUGCUGACUGGAGCCUGCUUCAGAUUCUGUGCCUCCUACUCUCUCUGCCCCUCCUCUGCUCAUGCUCUGUCUCUCUUUCUGUCAUCCAUUUGCUAAAGGUAAAAAAAAAAAAAAAAAGUUAGAUGGACCUAUGUAGAACUAAAGUCUGUUGUAAGAGAGCAAUAAAGUGAACUGCCACAGUUAGAUUCCAGAACUCUGAAUGCAGAAACAAGAACAAGGGAAACACUGGCACUCACUCUCAAGUGAGCAUGGAUGAUAAAAGGCAUCACCCAAACCAGGCCUGGAUCUGCAGAAGUAUUAAAGAUGGGCCCCCAAAGGCUUGUGAAUUCAGGUAUGUGUGUGUUACUCCUUUGAUUGUCAAUUAACAUUUCUGCAUAAGAGGAAAGAAAAGGAACAUGGGUACAAGGACAUAAAUUGCUCUGAUAUUUUAUCAAAUGCAGAAUUGCCCUUAAGCAAAUCUACUCCGGUACCAGGCAUUCUGCUCGAAGCUGUGAGGAUUCUCCCUCUGGCCUCGGGCAGAGCCUUAGUUGUGAGGUUCACCUGAAUUUUAGCAUUCCAAGUGGUCAAAGGAACCCGCAGCCUAGCUCUCACAGGGGCGAAAGAACUAGUCUUUUCCUGAGUAGAGAGCAGUGAGCUACACAACAACAACAACAAAAGAAUUCAGAUGGUACAUAGGUAGCUCGUCAAGAAUAUGGUCAACCCGAAAAGACAAGGGGGUAGAGCUGAGUGUCUGCAAGAAAAUAGUUCAGAAAAUAGAUGAGUGGUUUCACACUUUUGGUGAGCAUCCGAAUCACCUGUGGAACUUAAAAAUGCAGGUAUCUACCAGCGACUAUAGCAGUGCGUCUCUGACAUAAUCCCACUUUGAGAACUCCCAAUAUUAGUGUCAUUAGGAACCAGAAUUUUUGGCAUAAAAAUGAACGAAAAUACAACUGCAUGACUUAAGUAAAGGCCGGAUUUAAAGUAAAGAUUACAUACACUGAGUUUGAAUUGGAAGAGACAAGAUGAAGUCAUUAUGCAUUUUAUCUUUUAAGACAACAAAAUUGUAUCUCCGAGCUCUGUACGUUAAAAAGAUCUAAAAACAAUGAUCUAUCCAAAAGCAGUAAGCAUCCCCUAGUGACCAGAUUAUGGUUUCUAAAUAACAUUUCCCAUUAAAAGGAACAAGCUCCUAGGAGAAACAGUUUAUUCUAGGUCUGAGAAAGAAAAACAAACGUUAUAAAACAAACCUGGAAAAUCUGACACCAGGAAAGAAGGAUGUUAACAAAGAUUCCAGAAUCAUGUUAAAAGGUGUCAAGAACCAACAUGAAGAGGCUCUUGUGGCAAAAACAGGAUCACAUGAGCAUCAACAGAAUAAUAAAUAAUUGUAAAGGAUUGAAGGGUAACUAUGUUCAAAGCUAUGAUCUCACAAUACUAAAAGAAAAUAAAACCUCCAUGAUGGCUUUUUAAGGGUACCAGAGAAGCAACUAUUCUGAAAGUUACUAAAUAGAGGUAAAGAAUCAAUCCUAUUACUUUGCCCUUCCUGUAUCUACUGCAUCUGGGGGUAAACAACGAGGGGAAGUUUCUCUUUAUGAAGGAAUGGGAGACUAGGAUCAUCACCACUUUGCAGCCCUUAUUUAAAAGAAUAGGGGCGCCUGGGUGAAUCAGUCCAUUGAGUGUAUGACUCUUGAUCUCAGCUGAGGUCACCAUCUCCCGGUCCUGAGAUCAAGCCCUGUGUCCUCAGGCUCCAAGAUGAGUGUGGAGCCUGCUUAGGAUUCUCUCCCUCUCUCUCUGACCCUCCCCCAUUCUCACAUGCACCCUCUCUCCCUCUGUCUUUCAAAAUAAAUAAAUAAAAUUUAAAAAGACUCAAUAGAAGCAAUGAUCUUCAAAUAGUCACUAACCUCACACACACAGAAAGGUACAGGCAUCAUGUGCCAACCUAUGAGGCAUUCUUGCCUUUCAGGUAACCAUCCCCCCCCCAAAAAAAGAAAGUCACACCUGUAUCAGACAGACUUCUAGUCUGAUUUACAGGAGAGCAAGAGAUAAAGAAACACGUUAACCACCACCAUAAGGCUAUAAUAAGCCAGAUCAGACUGUAGGAAACUCUACAGAACAUAUGGUCCAGGUUCUUCAACAAACUUGAAGGGAGAAACAAGAAGGGGGGAAGGAGAAGCUCCAGGUUAACAGAGACUUGACCUAUUUAUCAUCCAGAAUCAAGGUGACUUUAUUCAGCUCUUGAGUCAAACAGACAAAAAAGCUUGGCUCUUGAGUCAAGCAAACAAAAAGUUUGGUAAAAAUAAGACAAUUAUAGAAUUUGAAUACUGGCUGGGUAAAGAAUUACAGUUAAUUUAUUUAUGGAAAUAAAAAAGUAUUAUAUAAAUAAAUAAAUGUAUGUAUAUUAAAUAAAUAGAUGUAUGAAAAUAGCAUCUUUAAAAAAAAAAAAGUCCUGCCUUUUAGAGAACUACACUGAACUCUUCAUGAACGAGAUGAUACAAUGUCGACAAUUUGCUUUAAAAUGAUCCACUGGUGGGGGUGAGGGGGAGAGGAAUGGGUGAGGUUACAGAUGAAAUAACAUUGGCCAUGAGUUAGUUACUGAAAUUGAGUGAUGGGAACAUGAGGUCCAAUACACUCUUCCCUCUGCUUCUGUGUGUUUGACAUUUUCCAUAUAAGUUAAAAAAUGUCACAAGCAAAAACAAAAAAUACAAGAUUAUGGCAUUAAAGUUCACAUCUGGGUCAUCUCUGAGGAAGAGAGAAUGUUGACAGGGCAUGAGGGAGAUUCUGGGUAUUGGCAAAAUUCUAUCUCUCGACCUAAGUAAUGGUUACUCAGGUGUUUAUUUUGUGAUAAUUACUGAAUUGUGCAUUUAUGCCUUGUGCUACUUUCUGGUGUUCUACUUAAAACAAAACAAAACAAAAAGUUAAGAUUAGUCUGAAGAAACCUAAACUAUACAAACACAGGAAAUGUACUCGACAGGACGGAAGUAUUUAAUACCUUGUAAUGCAUAAUACAUAGUGUUUUAGAAAUUUAUGGACAUUGAUCAAAAAGAAAAUGACAAUGUGUUGUGAAUGUUGUGUUGUAGCCUUUAAUCUUAUGGGAACUCAUCAUAAGACUCAGACCCAUAACAGAAUCAGGACAUACAUAUUAAAUGCAGAGAAUAUGCUAAUAGCAAAUAGUUACGAAGCAUCUAUUGUAUUAGUUGAGUUAAAAGGUGUUUGUAAAUUCUCUUAACUAUUCUUUCAAAUAAGAUACUCUUUCAACUUUCACUCAUCAUGUUAAAUUCAUUUUUACUGAUCGACUAGCCAGUAUACGUUUAUUGGUAUACCGUAUGGUAUAAAGAUGAAAUUACUGUCUUGUACAUAGAGAUGAAAGCAAAGUAAAUAAACAUGUAAUUUACUUUGAAAAAGCCAAAGUGAGUUGAGAGGCCAUGUUUCUGAAUGGUUGCAAAGCAAGAUCUUUGGUAUCAGUCAGUCAGAAAUCCUUGCUCACCUGACAAGUUCUAUGAUAGCAAAUACACUCUCUUUUGGUGCCUCAGUUUCCUCAUUUGUAAACACAGUAGCAGUAUUAUCACUUCUGGCUACUCUGAGGAUUAAAUGAGAUAGAACUCUUAGCUCAGUGCUCAGCAUACGGGGCCUGCUCAUUAAAUAUUACCAUGUAGUUAUGACUACUAUAAUUUUAAAAGGAUCCGUCUUGUAAAACGAUAGAAGAAUCUACCUCUCCUUUGGUACUUUCAAAAUGCUCCCUUGAAAGAAACAGGAUCAGGGCACCUGGGUGGCUCAGUCGGUUGGUUGAGCGUCCGACUUCGGCUCAGGUCAUGAUCUCACGUUCCGUGAGUUCGAGCCCUGCAUCGGGCUCUGUGGUGACAGCUCAGAGCCUGGAGCCUGUUUCCGAUUCUGUGUCUCCCUCUCUCUCUGACCCUCCCCUGUUCAUGCUCUGUCUCUCUCUGUCUCAAAAAUAAAUAAACGUUAAGAAAAAUUAAAAAAGAAACAGGAUGAAGAAACGAUAAAAUAGAGAAUGCUGCUAAUAAGGUUUCUGGGGGAAAAAAAAACCAUUUUAUUUCAACUAAGACAAAAAAAUGAAAGGGGUCUAUGACACAGAACAACCGGAUGGCUAAGAAUUCAAAAGCAAGAUGCUGGGUAAGUUAAAAAUCAAAACCUAAUUGUUGUAAUGGUUUCAAGCUGGGAAAAAAAAAAAUACAACCGCUUUCAGACUUGAAAGUUUACAAGCCAAGGCAGACUUAGAAGAAAUUAUUCAACAACCCUAAACCACUGGUUGAGAGAAUCAGGUCAGGCGGUACAAAACCCCAUGGGAAACCCACCUGAACCAGAUAGCCAUGAAAAGUACAUUGGCUCUUCUCUGAAGCAGGUACCACUUACCUGGGUGUCAGGAAAUCGUCCUAGUCGCUAGGGGUCCCGUCGGGUAAUCCCCGAUGACACUGGUGGCCCUGGUCUCCCUCCGAGGCUCCAGAGUCCCUCAUAGCCCACAGGACUUUUAAGGUCCUUAAAUAUGUGGUAUAUUUUGACAACAGCAUGUUUUAUAAGUCAUUUGUCAUCAGCAAACUUUAGACAAGGUUAAUGAAAGUUCUGUCACUUUAAUGUCUAGCCGGCUUUAAAUUACAAAUGUCAUGCGCCACGACUAAAGAAAGGGCACCGCAAUAAUACCAUAAACCAUCAUCUCCAGGGACAUACAGGUAAUUGCAUAGCUCAUUAAAAAACUGUUUUAAUUAUUAAUUGACCGUGUCAGAGUUGUCCUUUGAAGUCAAUUUUAAUUUUUUUUUUCCUUGCAAGCAUUAUGAUUUCAAGCUGACCUACAGAACUUUGUGUACACCUAAAAAACUGCCAGCAGAGGUUGCUAAGAAAGCUCUCUGAUACUCAGAAUUACUUUCCAAGUCAUUUGCAAAUAAUUUGCUUAUUGAGGGGACGGAGACAGCCAAACAUUUUUGGAGAGGUGUGGUCUAUUCUGUUCACUUUAUAGAGGCCAUGGAACAAAAUAAUAAUAAUAAUAAUAAUAAUAAUAAAUUUGCAGUGGAAAGAGCAAGCACUCAUCAUUUUAACUUUUUGUCCACGAGGAUGCAAACAGUGACUGCAAGUUUUUGCAGAAGACCACAGGGCAAUCUGCUCAGGAUUCAGUUGAACUUAUGAAUGGGACAGCUCGUUAAGUUUCUUAUAUAAUAAGUAACUCUAUAAAUAAGCUGUUUGCAAUCUUCAAAGCUGAACGGUCCUCGAUCACAAUGGGCGACAAGAAUUCCGAUACCUAACUCUAUCCCUCAAGUUGCUCCAUUCAAGAGAGAAACUAUUCGUCCUACUUUAUUUUUUCCACAUGAAUCCAGAAGGUGAUUUAGAGAUAAGAUGAUGUCCAUUUCUGCAAAAGAUGCCAAUGGCAUCUAGAAUAAAAUGACUAAUUCUAUAUUUAUAAAGAGACAAGCAUCCAUAAUGUCAAACGACAGAGUUCUGAUUUACUAGCAAAUUGAACUUUCACUGGAAGAGAAAAGAAUUUCUCAAAAUGGGGAUCUUAUAAAUUAAUCCAGUCCUUCCUGAAAACCAUUUUAAAAAGAC
rnacentral:lncRNA from 1 species